AUAGUUAUCCUGAUUCAUAUCUAUUGUUUGUAAUCCUUCACCCCGUGUGAAUAUAAUGGCAUGAUUCUGAUUUUCUGGCUUCCCCUCACCUAAUAUUGCAGGUCCAGGAAGCUUUAUCCGAUAUAUUACCUGGGCAAGAAUUCAGGCAAUAAUUACGAAGGAUUGCUAGGAAUGCAAUGCCUUUGGUUAGAUUCAAGUAAUGUAUGCUUGUGUUCUCAUGUAUGGGCAUGCAUGUACAUAAUUAUCAAUGGCAUGCAACAUAAAUCCAACAUCAUAAGAAUCAUUGGUGAGCUAUCAAAAACUAGGUAGCUAAGUGGCCAAACUGACUUCAACCAAUCAAAGCCUGCGAUAUCAAUUCUCCAGCUAUAAAAAAUGGUUUCCAACCAUGACUUUAGUUAAAGUUAAAUUCUGAGAAAAUAGAGAUCAGUUCCCUUGGUUUUUUUAUAUUUGACUAUCACAUACAAUGCAUAAAUUUAAUAGGUAAGUAUAAGGAGUUGCAGACAAAACUUUCCUCUUUAACAACA
rnacentral:misc_RNA from 1 species